UUUACUUAGUUUAAAUUUUUAUGUCAAUAUUCAGUCCAAGAGUCCCAGAUAAAAUGACCUUUGACCGAAUUUCUAUAUUAAAAUAAUUAGGAGUUUUUUUUAUUUUAGUUUUCUAAUUAGAUUAGGACUAGUUAUAAGGCCUAUUUAAAGGCAUGGCUGUCCACCUUGUUAAACACUUAUCAUUAUUAUUAAAAUUUCAGAUUUGUUGAGAGCAG
rnacentral:lncRNA from 1 species